rnacentral:rRNA from 1 species
UACACACCGCCCGUCACACCACGAGAGUUUGUAACACCCGAAGUCGGUGAGGUAACCUUCAUGGAGGCCAGCCGCCUAAGGUGGGACAGAUGAUUGGGGUG